CAGAUCCCUCCUGAAUACAAAUUUACGCAGCACUGCUACAAGCAAUGAGCUGGAUUAUCAAGAGCUAAUGAUUUACUGGGUUUGCAGGGGAUGGGGCUAUGCCAGCUAAGAGUUGAGCCUGGCCCUGUCUUCUGUGAGCGGUCUCUAACCUUUUUAAGUAAGAGAUCACCUUUGGCAUUUAAAAGCAACCCAAGACCUACUGUGCACUGCCGCUUUCCCCUACCUCUCCCCACCCAGCAGGUAACUUGAUUUGAUACAUACGCUCAACAAUGAAGAUUUUUACCAGAACAAAAAGCAAUUACAGUUGAAAGAAAAGAAAAAUAACCAUUUUUCAACUAACCCAAAACUAACUGCAGCCAAUAUGUGAUUCUCUUCAUCAGGGAGUAAGUGAUCACAAGUGACAAAAAGGCUGUUCCUAGAGCUGCAACAAGAGAUGAUCAUCAGAGAACUUCUUCAGAGUUGUUCAAGUUGUUGUUAUACUCACCAUUACUUUCCAGUCUAAGGAUCAAUUAUUGUGGAAUCACAGUUGUGAUUCUGUAGUUAAAACUGAAAUAAUUCUUUUGUUCUCAACCCUCAAAAGAGGUACCUUUCCCAAAAGAACUGCCUUUUCUGUUGAACUUCAUCAUUCCUAGCUUUAGCUUCAUGGUGAACUAUAGUAAGCAUGAAUGAUCACACAUGCAUUACCUACAGCAAUUCAGACACAGCAGCACAUAUAAAGCCAAGCUAAGCUGUCCCUCAAGAAAAACCAAGGAUUGAAAAGUUGAGAAAUCGCCAGCAGCUAUUGGUCUACUUGCUGUUUUGGUAACCUAAACAGAAAAAGAACUGUUUCAAUAUGAAACCCAAUAUAACCUGCUAAAAUAUACAUUACAGGCAAAAAUCAUAUCUUAAUGCAGGGGUCAGCAAUGUAUUUGGGCAGAGUGCCAAAUGCAUCCCAGCCUUGACUUGUAAGAUGUUGAUGUGCCAGGGGCAGACAGCAGGGGAGUCAAGAGGGACCUAAUCCUUGUUGUGGCAGUGCUACCCCAGCCCCUUCCCUACUGUCUGCCUGGAGGCACAUGUACUCCACCACUGGCAACGAGCCAGGCUGGGGCUCUAUGGACCCCAGUGCAGCUGCUUGCAACCUCCCCACUGUCUGCUGUGAACAGCUCGGGCUUUGUGGUAGGCAGCAAGGACAUGCCCAGAGCCCAGGUCAGCUGCAACAGGCAACCAGAAGGCUGCAAAGCAGCUGUACGGGGAUCCACAAAGUUCUGGCCUAGCUUGUUGCCGGUGGCAGGUACACAUGUGCUUCCCAGCUGCUGGCCACGGCUGGCCCAGGUUCUGGGCAGGUCUUUGCCACCCACUAUGGAGCCCAGCCUACUUGUAGCAGGUGGCAAAGAGGCGGCAAACAGUUGCACCAGGGUGCAUGGAGGUCCAGCCUGGCUCACUGACAGUUGUGGGUCUUGGGGCAGAUGGUGGGGGAGUCACAAAGGAUCUGAUCCUUGUUGUGGCAGCACAGCCUCAGUCCUUGAGGCACACAUGCUAAGCAAAAUGCCUUCACUUGUCACACUCUGGCAUGUGUGCCAGGAGCUGUCGACUCCCGCUUUAGUACAAUGUAUACCGGUUAAAGAAGAAGCUCAAACCUCACUGUUUAACACCCUCCCUCACUUCCAAAAAAACCCAGACCCAUAAAUAACUAGCUACACAACAUGGCAGUGCCCAAUACUCUAGCAAGAGAUAUGUUCCAUGUGACAGAAUCAAAGCAAGUGGUCUGGAAGGGAGUGAAAAAGACUGGUUUUGAGAACGUAAUUGUCAGGUUAAUGAAUUUCCUGAGAGGUCUGGAGAGGUUUCCCACCAGAACUGAGCGACCAGAACGAGGGGCUUUCUGCUUGCUGCCACACACAAUGAUAUUAUAAUGUUCUUUGAAAUGAAGGCACAUGCAGAACUAGUCAGAGAAUAAUGGUUGCCAGUCAGAGAAUAACUAUUAAGGGUCCUAUUCCAUUAACUUUUCCCCCUUUUGCAUCCUGAAUAUGGCACCCCUCUCUGCAUCCGUGUUCAAACAGAUUAAAAUGUCUCCAAUAAGCGAACAGACUGCAAAAUUCUACCUAAACAUGCAGAACCCCCUCUGCUGAUUUGUUCUGCUAAUAAGGGCUGGAACCUGUGUAAGGAAGAUGUGCAGUCAUUGUUAGUCAUUUGAAAGCACCCUUCAAAUUUGUCCUUGCCUUGGUGUAAGACAAAAGAAGUUUUACUUCAUGAAAAGGCCAGAGAUUUACUUACUCAUCAAACAUUUAAAGGAGCCUGCCUGUUCUUUUCAAGUUCAUGAAGCUUUCUCUACUGUUUUGUCAUACUCCUGAUCCCACAUGUCAUUGAUUGUACAGCCUGCUCCACGCAUCAGAACUGCUUCAGCACCAAACAGUGACAGCAUAUACCAGUCUGGAAAGCGACAUGGCUCUGCAGCCAAGCCUAUGCUUCAAGUAUAUGUCAGAUACAACAGCCAUGUUCCUAAGGAAAAAAAUAGAAGUUGACAAGGAUUAGGAAAAGAGAAAUCAUAGUGGAAUUAUUCCUCAGGAUACCAUCAACAGCAGAUAAAUACUGAAUGAACUAAUUAACAACUUCUAAAACUGCAAAACCAAAGCUGAGAAAGAUUUAAGCUAUAAAUGCAAGGCAAUGUAGUCUGACAAUUUCCUCCUCUUAGUUUUCUUAGCUCUUUUCCUCCUCUUAGUUUUCUUCUUGGCUAAACUGUUAAAUAAAAGUACUUUUAAAAGACAUUUCCCCUGCCCAGACUUUUCAACAAAACAGAAGACUGAACUGUGAAGAAAAUGCAACGUUUGAAAAAUCAGCCAGAUAUUCAGGCAGGACAGAAAGCACGUUUGCUAGGCCAUCCUGCUCUCUCUUCAGAACAAAUUUGUGGCUACCUUUACAAUUUUUCACAAUUAAAUACUCCUGGAAGUGUCCUCUUUAGUUCAUAUUUCAGAGGUUAUAGCCAUGUUUGGUCUAAGAACAUAGGCAGACAAGGUUCUUUGUGUAGAUGUGGUAUCUUUUAUUAGACCAAACAAAUAGUUGGAAAAAUUGUUCUUUGCAAGCUUCUGGGCACAAACACCCUUCUACAGGCAUAUGGAGAGUCUGCUAGUGUAUGUACUUUCCUGGGUGGAAAAGAAGCCAAAAUGCAAAAUGGAGGUCUGUAAAAAUGCAAAUACAUGGCAAUGAGGAUCAGAGGCCAUGGGAGACAAUAGGUACAAGGACAGGUAGGUGGUGGGAAAAUAGGGGAGAAUGUUGACCUGGUGAUAGAAUGUAGCUUGUAAAAUGCAGAUAGGUUACCUGGGGUUAGAUGUCAGGCAGGUUAUAAUGUGGCAUGAAUCAAUGUCUGUAUUUUGUCCAUUUUAUGUAUCCAGUAGAUUUAUGAAGUGAAGUUCGUAGGCUUGUCUACGAAAGGUGUUUUGUAAAUUCCCUUUGAGAAUUAGAAGUGAGACUAGAGAGAGAGUGGUUGACUUGUGAGAAGUGUGCACCCACAGGUAAUUGGAUAUUUUUGUCUUUGAUAAAAUUUUCAGUGUGCAUUCA